GUCUAUGGCCAUGCUACCCUGAAUAAGCCCGAUCUCGUCUGAUCUUGGAAGCUAAGCAGGAAACUAAGCAGAGUCGAGCCUGGUUAGUACUUGGAUGAGAGAUCGCCUAGGAAGAUCAGGUGCUGUAGGCA
ensembl:rRNA 5S_rRNA 5S ribosomal RNA